UGCGAACCUAAGAGCUUGUGCAAUAAUCAAUAUCUAUUCACUGUAAUGAGAAAAAACUAUUGAUUGAAUAUACGUACUUCAUUAGACAGGGAUUUUUGAUUUUAAAAAAAAAAUCAAAUGGAAAAAUGAGCUAAAACAUGAAAUUUCAUAGGCAUAUGUGAUGUUUGAGAAAUUCUUGUGUUUCUUAUAAUGCCUAGUUCAUACAAUGAAGGGAUCACAAGGAAUCCUUGAGCUGCCGUAAUUCACCAUAAAAUCUAUAUGAAGCAAUAGAAGGAACACUUGAAGCAAGUAAAAAAGAAUAGAGAAAGGCAAGAGAUAAAAAGCAAAAUCUAGUUAAAACUAAGAAAUAAUAUGCGUAUAUAACUGAAAAAGGUGGGAG
rnacentral:lncRNA from 1 species